rnacentral:rRNA from 1 species
GACGAACGCUGGCGGCGUGCUUAACACAUGCAAGUCGAACGGAAAGGCCCUGCUUGCCGGCUACUCGAGUGGCCAACGGGUGGGUAACUCGUGGGUGAUCUGCCCUCCACUUCGGCAUAGGCCUGGGCAACUGGGUCUAUUACCUGAUAGGAGAUAUUUUUAGCGUGAUGGUUCAAAAGUUUUUUCGGUGUAGGAUGAUCUCGCGACCUAUCAGCUUGUUGGUUGGGUAAUGGCGUACGGAGCCGGCGAAGGGUAGCCGGCCUGAGAGGGUGGACGGCGACAAGGGGACUGAGGGAGGGAGCAGACGCCUACGGGAGGCAGCAGGCGGGAAUAUUACACAAUGAGAGCAAGCCUGUGGCGGAGGCGCUGGGUGGGGGAUGACGGCUUUCGGGGUAUGAACACCUGUGGCUAGAGACGAAGCUUUUUGGAAGGGUACCUAGAUAAGAAGCACGGGCUAACUACGU